rnacentral:misc_RNA from 1 species
UCUCCGUAGGUGAACCUGCGGAGGGAUCAUUACAGGGUUCGUGCCCUCACGGGUAGAUCUCCCACCCUGUGUUGUUAUACCUUUGUUGCUUUGGCGGGCCGCCCUCGGCUACCGGCCCCGGCUGGUACGCGCCCGCCAGAGGACCCCAAACUCUGAAUGUUAGUGUCGUCUGAGUACUAUACAAUAGUUAAAACUUUCAACAACGGAUCUCUUGGUUCUG